AUUUAUAUAGUAUAAAAUAUUACUAUUAAUUUCCAAUUAAUAAAUUUUUCUAAAGAAAAUAUAAAUA
rnacentral:tRNA from 1 species